CGCCGGGCAGCUCGGGGAGGCGGGUGCGAGAUCCUGAGGAAGCGCUCGACUGCCCGGAGCAUCCCUGCGACCGGCGAUUGCAGGUCCCCCACGUGCACCGCAGCGGGACCCGGCCCAGGCGUCCGCGCGGGCAUGGUCCUCCCCAGGCCUGGCCCCCACUCGCAGGAGUGAUACUAAUCACACGUCGGUGCACACCCAGAGGCCUUGCACUCGGGCGUUUCCCCUGGAUUUAGUAGACCUUUCACAAUCCAGUCUUGCUGGGCUUCCUUGAUGUUUGACCGGCUUCUGAUCUUCUUUUAAUUGCAAGAAGACUGCUUUUUAUGUUUGGUCCUUGAAGUUCUUGCCUAAAUAUCUAGAAUCCAUAAAUACUUGGGCAUAGAACUAGGAAGGCGGGGGUAGCUGUCGAAUUGAUAGAGAAAGACAGCCCCAGACCUGGAUCCUGCUGCCCCGGCGUCCCCCACUGGAAAAAUGCACACCAGGUCCCUGCGACCAUUCGGACCUGGAUGGCCACGGGGAUAGACGAGUGCCUCGCUGCAACCCACCCCCAGACUUCGGCUUCUCCUUUCCGUCCAGACUGCUGGGAUCACCACCCCACACUCGUGCCUCUGCUUCCUUCUCCUGCACUGUUGUUGACCCCUCACCGUGCCCGUGGUCUCGCUAUGUAGUCCUGGCUGACCUUGAACUCACUAUGUAGCCCAGGCUGGCCUCAAACUCUCCACGAUUCUCCUGCUUCAGCCUUCUGAGUGCUGGGAUUGCAGGCACCACCACCAGGCCCACCUCUGGCUUCAACCUUUUUAAGGCUCUCGGUGACUGGACCCUGGCCACACUCAGCAUUCGCCCCAUAUCUGAUCCGAGUCUACAGAUGGCUUCCUCUCACCGCAGCCGGCCCAGCUCCCUGCAGGCAGGCGGCUGCGUCAGGCCCGGGACCUGGGCCUCAGCAGCUGUGCCUCCUCCGCGUGGCAUCCAAGACCUGGCGGGCUGGCGGGGUCCGGGUCAGAAUUCCAUGGGCGUGUAGCCCACAGCGGCUCUCUGCAAAAUCAAUCAGACGACACUCUCCGUUCUCCUUCGCUGCUAGCUUUCCGCGGUGCAGCCUAGGAUUAUGUUUAACAUUGCUUGAUGCCGGGCGGUGUUGUACGUGUGUGUGCGCGUGUGCAAGGGCUUCUGUGCUUUAGAACAAGUGUUAACGGUCGCUUUGGUUUCCAGAAGCCCAUUCUGGUAAACCACGUUGCAAGUUCAGCCGUAACAACACUUAGGUUCGGCGAUUCCGUUGCUGGGACCCGAGGUCCCUAAUGACUUCUGUCCUUUGAACAAAUGCUGCCUCCCGCGGAGGGCUGAGGGGUGGGAGCGACCCUUGCCGCCCCUUCCGGCCACAGCAGCGCCCCCGAGGCCACACCCCCCA
ensembl:lncRNA